UACGGCAGUCCUCUGUGAGACCUUGAAGGGAGAGGUGCCGCCGCCUGCCUCCCUCCCUGCCUCCCUCACUCCCUCUCCCCGCCUCGCUGCCUCGCCGCUCCUCCACUAGAUACCGUGGCCCCACCAGCAGCCCUUGAAGAUGACCUUAAAUCCGCAGUUCCAACAGAUCGGGGAGACCUUUGUCAAACAGUACUACCUUAUUUUUGACGGCGAGAGAGAAGGCAGGGAGAAGCUGGCAAACUUCUAUCACGCAGAACUGUCUUUAAUGUCCUUUGAGGGAGUCCAGGUGCAAGGAGCCGUUCAAAUCCUGGAGAAGAUUAAGAGCUUGACCUUCAACAAAAUAGCCCGAGCCAUCACUACUGUUGACUGCCAGCCCACGUUUGACGGCGGCGUUUUAGUCAACAUUCUCGGACAGUUGAAGAUGGAUGAUGACCCUCCUCAUGGAUUCAAUCAAACCUUUGUGCUCAAACCUCUUGGCGACAGUUUCUUCGUCCAACACGACAUGUUUCGGCUGGCGCUCCACCACAUUGCUGUGUGAGUGGAGGGCCCGUUCACUGCAUCUUAAGGUGGCAAAGAGCAUCUGUAGUUGAUUCUCUGCUCCAUCAUCUUACUGGAAGAUGGAUGAGGACCCGGUACAUGGAUUUUCCCAGACAUUUGUCCUCAAACCUAUGAAUGAUUCUUUCUUCAUCCAGCACGAUUCCUUCCGCCUGGUCAUCCAUAAUAACUAGAGGAUCACCCACCCACCCACCCGCCC
rnacentral:misc_RNA from 1 species